rnacentral:rRNA from 1 species
GCGUCAAUGCGUGAUAUGGUACCUUUUGUAGAAUGGUCCGGCGAGUGAAUGUCACUGGCAAGGUUAAGCUCUUCAGGAGUGCAGCCGAAGCGAAAGCGAGUCUGAAAUGGGCGUUUUAGUCAGUGGUAUUCGACCCGAAACCGGGUGACCUAGCCAUGAGCAGGCUGAAGUGGAGGUAAAACUCCAUGGAGGGCCGAACCCACUCCCGUUGAAAUGGUAGGGGAUGACUUGUGGCUAGCGGAGAAAUUCCAAUCGAACCCGGAGAUAGCUGGUUCUCUCCGAAAUAGCUUUAGGGCUAGCCUCAAUUAACAUUACCGCAGGUAAAGCACUGAAUGAGCUAGGGGGCGAAAGCUUACUGAACUCUAUCAAACUCAGAAUGGCGGAUAAUGAAUGAUUGGGAGUCACACUACGUGAGAUAAGUUUCGUGGUGGAAAGGGAAACAGCCCAGACCCACAGCUAAGGUCCCAAAGUACAGUUAAGUGGAAAAGGAUGUGAAAUUGCGCAGACAACCAGGAUGUUGGCUCAGAAGCAGCCACUCAUUCAAAGAGUGCGUAAUAGCUCACUGGUCGAGUGAUUUUGCGCCGAAAAUUUAACGGGGCUAAACUGUACACCGAAGCUUGGGAAUAUACAUUUGUAUGUUGGUAGGAGAGCGUUGUGUAAGGGGUGAAGUCGUAGCGAAAGCGGCGGUGGACUUUACACAAGUGAGAAUGCCGGAAUGAGUAGCGAGAAUUAUGUGAGAAUCAUAAUGGCCGAAAGACUAAGGUUUUAGAAGGAAGGUUCGUCCGCUUCUAGUUAGCCGGGAGCUAAGGCGAGGCCGAGAGGCGUAGUCGAUGCACAUACGGUUGAGAUUCCGUAGCUACCUUGCAUUUAAGCGAAGGGACACAUUUGAAGGGCAUGACCCGGGCGUUGGUUGACCCGGGCGUAAGGGACCGAAAAUAAGUAGGGAAGCAUGCUUGGAUGGUGGCGAGAAAAGCUUCGUGUAUAUAAGCAGGGUACCCGUACUGCAAACCGACACAGGUAGUCAGGAAGAGGAUUCUAAGGCCAUCGGGAGAAGCGUUGUUAAGGAACUCGGCAAAUUGACCCCGUAACUUCGGAAUAAGGGGUGCUCACGCGAGUGAGCCGCAGUGAAUAGGUCCAGGCAACUGUUUAUCAAAAACACAGCUCUCUGCUAAAUCGUAAGAUGACGUAUAGGGGGUGACACCUGCCCGGUGCUGGAAGGUUAAGAGGAGGGGUGCAAGCUCCGAAUUGAAGCCCCAGUAAACGGCGGCCGUAACUAUAACGGUCCUAAGGUAGCGAAAUUCCUUGUCGGGUAAGUUCCGACCCGCACGAAUGGUGUAAUGAUCUGGACACUGUCUCAACAACGCACCCGGCGAAAUUGUAGUACCGGUGAAGAUGCCGGUUACCCGCGGCAAGACGGAAAGACCCCAUGGAGCUUCACUGUAGCCUGAUAUUGGGUCUCGGUAUUUUAUGUACAGGAUAGGCGGGAGACUUGGAAACCAGCACGCCAGUGUUGGCGGAGUCACCCUUGGGAUACCGCUCUUAAAGUAUUGAGAUUCUAACCUGCAGCCAUGAAUCUGGCUGGGGGACAUUGUCAGGUGGGCAGUUUGACUGGGGCGGUCGCCUCCAAAAGAGUAACGGAGGCGUUCAAAGGUUCACUCAGCAUGGACGGAAACCAUGCCUUAGAGUGCAAACGCAUAAGUGAGCCUAACUGCGAGACUGACGGGUCGAGCAGUAACGAAAGUUGGAGUUAGUGAUCCGGCGGUAUGUGAGUGGAAAUGCCGUCGCUCAACGGAUAAAAGCUACCCUGGGGAUAACAGGCUGAUCUCCCCCAAGAGUCCACAUCGACGGGGAGGUUUGGCACCUCGAUGUCGGCUCAUCACAUCCUGGGGCUGAAUUCGGUCCCAAGGGUUCGGCUGUUCGCCGAUUAAAGUGGUACGCGAGCUGGGUUCAGAACGUCGUGAGACAGUUCGGUCCCUAUCUGUCGUGGGCGUAGGAUAUUUGAAGGGCGCUGUUCCUAGUACGAGAGGACCGGAAUGGACGCACCGCUGGUGUAUCGGUUGUCAUGCCAAUGGCACGGCCGAGCAGCUAUGUGCGGAUGGGAUAAACGCUGAAAGCAUCUAAGCGUGAAGCCCUCCCUAAGAUAAGAUAUCCCACUGUUUACAGUUAAGACCCCUUAUGGACUAUGAGGUUGAUAGGCUGCGUGUGUAAGUAUGGUGACAUAUUUAGCUAGGCAGUACUAAUAGGUCGAGGGCUUGACCU